rnacentral:lncRNA from 10 species
CUCUGCCUCCCAGGUUCAAGCAAUUCUCCUGCCUCAGCCUCCUGAGUAGACGGGAUUACAGGCGUGCACCACCACACUCAGCUAAUUUUUUUCUGUUUUUAAUAAAGAUGGGGUUUCACCAUAUUGGCCAGGCUGGUCUCGAACUCCUGACCUUGUGAUCUGCCCACCUUGGACUCCCAAAGUGCUGGGAUUACAGGUGUGAGCCACUGUGCCAGGCCAAAAAAACAUACUUUUAUUUAUAGCCUGUAGCUUCAGGUUGAGAAACUGUGUAGGCAUUUAGUGGAGAUGAAAUUUACUGACAAUUAAAUCAGUUUCUAGGAAGCAUGGGUAGCCCUCACUUCCUCUGCCUGGAUCUGCACAUCUGCACACCUAGAGUUCCGGGAAGACCAGGCAGCCCAUGAGCUGGGAGAUGCACACGCCUCAGGUCGUGUCCGAAGGCAAUCUGUGGUGAGCAGCUGCUCUGCCAAAUCCACCAGGAGCAGGUGAACACAGGAGCUGAAUCCCACUUCAUGCCUCACUCAGGGCAGCCCAGGUUGCUGCUGUGUGAUAAUACACAUCAUAACCGCAAUAAUAACACAGAGAAUCCUAUUUAAUAAUAACAAACGUGAUAAACACUGUCAAGACGGAUGACAGAUGUUGCCCCUCCAUGAAGAGCUGAGCGCAUAGCACAUGUCGAGCCAGCGCUUCAUUUGCAUCAGUGUCCCAAAGUGUGGCUGCAUCAAAGUCACCUGGAGGGCUGAUUACAACACAGGCUGCCUCGGCCCAGUCCCAGAGAUUCCGAUUCAGCAGGUCCAGGGCAGGGCCUGAGGAUUUGCCUUUUUAACCAGUUCCCAGGUCAUGCUGGUGUUGCUGACUCAGGGAUGACACUUUGAGAACCACUGAUCUACGUUAAUUAAUUUAAUCCUUAUAACAAGCCUAUAAACUAGCAGUGCUUAUUAUCUCCAUUUUACAGCUGAGAUAGCUCAGACAGAGAGGGUUUAAGCAACUUGCCAGUACUCCAAUCCCAGUGGGUCUGCCUCUGAAGCGUGUGCCUGGGACCACAUGCUCCAUGGGACAUAAAUACCACAUGAGGUCAGCAAAAGUGGCUGUUCCCUGAAGCAUCAUCUUAGAGCCCCCAGACAUGUGGGGUUUAAAGAGGCCUCUAAAAGCCAGCCUUGGUCAUGGUCUUUGAGAACUACCUUAGAGUUCCCAUAAUCUCUCAGUGUUCCCAUAAUCCCUCAGUGUGCCCAUAACUCCUUAGAGUUCCCAUAAUCCCUCAGUGUUCCCAUAAUCCCUCAGUGUUCCCAUAAUCCCUGCGUGUUUUUCAUAAACCUUUGGAGUUCCCAUAAUCCCUGAGUGUUCUCAUAAUCGUAACAAGCUUUCUCCUCACGUGGAGCCCGCAGGGCACCAAGUAAUAGCAGUGAUAGUUAAUGGGCUUGCAGGUGUACUUGAUUGCCCAGUAAUAAACUUGAAUCCUCUGACACACUUGUUUCAUGGGCAUGACUGCUCGUUUUGGCAAGAGGGCUCAGAUAGUACCCUUUGCUGAGAGAAAUGAAAGGCACCAAAUGUUAUUUCUAUUCUGCUUUACCUAAAAGCAAUUAUUUUCAACUUCCUAUUCUCAUACAAAAUAAGUUUUCAGAGCACAAUAACUAGCCAUUGCUAAUGAAUUUAAAUAUUGGUCUAUUUCAUACAUGUAUUUUCAUUCUAAGUGUCUUAUGUUUUAAUUUAAAAAAUCUUGAAUGAUAGAUUUAAUCUCAACAUCAGCCUUAAACCACCUGGAGGAGAACUUAAAAUUUACAAGCGAGUACAUGGAAUGGGUCCUUUACAAUUUAAGUGUUUUAGAACUUGUUGGAGUCCCCAGAGUGCCCUUCAUCCGCUACACAUCUGCACUAGGUGCUUACAGACGUUUCUUGUUUAUCAUUAAACUUUGUUUUCAGACUCUGAAUCUGGUCUCCAACCAGAGGACAAUCUCUCCAUUAUCUCUAAAGGAAUACAACUCUAAAAUUACCCCAGCGAUAGAGCCCAGUUGCUCUGUGUAGCCCACCUUGGAAGCAAAGGCAUUCUUUUAGCCAGGCAACUAUUUUAAUCUGCAAAAGAGGCACAUAGGUGAGUAUGCCUAUGAUACCCUGCUAUGGUUUGGAUAUUUGUCCCUCCAAACCUCGUGUUGAAAUUUGGUCCCCAGUGUUGGAGGUGGGGCCUAAUGGGAGGUGACUGAGUCAUGGGGGUAGAUCCCUCAUGAAUAAGAAUAAUGCCCCCACUGUGGCUGAGUUCUCACUCUUAGUUUCCUUGGGACCUGCUAAUUAAAGAGAGCCUGGUCCCUCUCCCCUCUCUCUCUGGCUUUCUCUCUCACCGUGUGAUCUCUGCACAUACUGGCUCCCUUCUGCCUUCAGCCAUGAGUAGAAGCAGCCUGAGGCCCUCACCAGAUGCAAAUGCUCAGUUUUGAAUUUUUCAACCAUCAGAAUUGUGAGCCAAAUAAAUCUUUUUUCUUUAUAAAUUUCCCAGCCUCAGGUAUUCUUUUAUAGGAACACAAGACAGACUAAGACACACCCAGAUGUAAUAAAGAGACACAAUAAGCCUCCCCAAACUCAAUUGCUUCAUUCUCACACUGUCUGGACUGCAGGUUACCCAGGCUGGCUGACAUAGGCUGGGUGGGGCUGAGCAGCUGAAGGCAGCAGCCACCUGGGGUCUUGCUCUUCUCACGGUGGAUGAGUGGAUCACAUGCCAGGCGCCUGCUGCCUCAUGCUCACUAAAUUCACUACGCCAAGCUAUGCUCAUGGCAGAGCCUUUUUCAAAGGACCAAAGAAGUAUAUGCUCCCUCAGUGGAAGGAGGAAGAGAAUGUUUACUGAACAAUAAUCUACCCUGUCAAACUUACCAUGUCUUACAGUUCCAUGAAAAAAAAAAUUGAUCAGUUCAAUGAGAAAUAAAUUAAACUGGUAAUUUGCAUAGUUUAACUUACUUAAUAGCUGCUUUCUUGCUGGAGAAAGCUAGCCCUAGGAUGAUGAUGUUGUUGAACAAUGGCAGUUUUAAUAUUUUUCCAUUUGAUUCACAGGAGUGAGCGAAUCCCUGAAGCAGACAGUGUGUGUUCUACAGAGGGCCUUUCAGUCUCUAUUUACCGACUUUGUUUUACCGUAAUUGGGAUACACAUGUUUUGGCUUCAGGACACCAAAGCUGAGAAUUGUUUUGGGCAAAAACAUCUAUGAUGUUACUUCAAAAGGCAAAUCAUACCACCUGUUUGAAAAGAGCUAGAUAAAACAAUUUGUGUUGGGCUAAUUUUUUUCAUUUUGAGCUUCUUUUAGGGCUUGGGCUUAGGCUGUGAUCAGCCUAAGAUUGGCUGGGUUGAAAGACAUCAUCAUUUUCCCUGUUGCAGGUGCAGGAUAUUAGGGUGGGCCCCGUCUCUGACUGCUCAGCUCAGCCUCCACCGCUGAGAGUUUGAUGGCCCCGAGCCUGGAACACCAUGAGAAAAAGGGAGUGAAAAGGAGUGUAUCUCCUGGAUGUAGGGAGGCUCCGAAAGGCCUGGAGCUUUUCUGUGUUGUGCCUGAUCCCAGAGUCACUGGGACAAUGGCCUUUAGCUUUCUUCUGGGGUCACGGACCCCUUUGAGAUUCUCAUGGAAGCUAUGAUUUCCCUUACAGAAAAAUACACACACACACACACACACACACACACUUUACCACUCUAAUAUCACCUUGAAUCUCAUAUUGUUUUCUAGAAUUUUAGAUGCAAAUCGACAUAGACACGCAGACUUUUUUGAGUAUAGGUAUAUAUCAUCUCAAGUUCCUGCUUAGAUUUGCCAAGGUUUAUUGAUUUCUGACCCCAUUGCUGGGGUUCAUUUUUUGCUUUGUUAGGUAUGUCCUUGAGCAUUUCAUUCAGCAAAGGUUCCUACGGGUAGUAGUUCUUGUCUGCAUAUGUCUGAAAGUGCCUUAAUCUCAGCUCCAUCUUGAAUAAGAAAUCAGGUGGGCGUGGCCUGCUCAGUGAGAAGCUCUUUUUCCCCAGCACCAUGCAUGUGUUACUCCACUGUCUCCUGGAGUGGAAUGAGCUCAAAGAAAUGAGCUCCUAUUUCUUUGGUCUGUCUCAUGUGGGUUUCUUCCAUCGGCUGAAUUUCCUUGCGCUGUCUGUUACUUCUGUUUGAGAGCUUGUAGUUUUUGGAGUUUCCUCCUGUGUGCAUCUCUCUCAGCUUCCUUUCGGGGCUGUUUCAUGGUUUCUGGUUGGUGGAGAGAUUUUGGUUGCUCUGAGGAGCAGGAGGCACGGACACUCCUUCAGGAUGGGUUGUGCCAACCUUGAUCUGCUCCUGACUCCCAGAGAGCUCUGUGGUCUUGACCUCAAUCUGUUUGGGCUCAUAGUGAGGUUCUUGUUUUGAGUGAGCCUGUGUACUUUAAAAUAUGUGUAAGAUAUUUAAUCUCUUAUGUCAAUGUGUUUGGAGAGAGGUGGAGAAGAUGAGGUUCUCUGUGUGCUUUCUUCCUGCUGAAAGGUGGCCCUCCAAAAGAUGUGUCCGUGGAAGUCUGAGGCGGGCAGAUCACUUGACGUCAGGAGUUCAAGACCAGCCUGGCCAACAUGGUGAAACCCUGUUUCUACUAAAAAUACAAAAAAAUUAGCCAGGUGUGGUGAUGUGCACCUGUAAUCCCAGUUACACAGGAGGCUGAGGCAGGAGAAUCACUUGAACCCGGGAGGUGGAGGCUGCAGUGGGCCGGGAUCAUGCCACUACACUCCAGCAUGGGCGACAGAGCCAGACUCCAUCCCCGCCCCCAAAAAAGAUAUGUUCACAUCCUAACCCCUAGAUCCUGUGAAUGUGGUCUUAUUUGGAAAAAGGAUCUUUCUUUGCAGAUGUAAUUAGUUAACGAUUUUCUGACAAGAUCUUCCUAGAUUAUUCAGGCAGGCCCUAAAUGCAGUGUCAAGUGUUCUUAGAACAGACAGGAGAGCAGGAGACACUCACACAGAAGCAGAGGCCUUGUGAUGAUGGAGGUGGAGACUGGAGGGAAGCAGCCAGCAGCCAGGAACACCUGGAGCCGCUAGAAGCUGGGAGAGGCAAGGGCAGAUCCUCCCCAGAGCCUUUGGAGGAAGUGUGGCCCGGCUGGCACCGCGAUUUCAGGUUUCUGGCCUCCAGAACUGUGAGAGGAUAAAUUUCUGUUGUUUCAAGACCCCAGUUCGUGGUCAUUUGUUACAGUAGCCCCAGGCUGCGAUCAACUUUAAUGAACAUUUAUUGAUUUUAUUUUUAUUAUUUUUUUACUUUUAGGUUCAAGGGUACAUAUGCAGGUUUCUUACACAGGUAAACUCAUGUCACGGGGGUUUGUUGUACAGAUUAUUUCAUCACCCAGGUACUGAGCCUAGUACCCAAUAGUUCUUCUUUCUGCUCCUCUCCCUCCACCCUCCACUCUCUGAUGGGCCCCCGUGUCUGUUGUUCCCCUCUUUGUGUCCAUGAGUUCUCAUCAUUUAACUCCCACGUGUAAGUGAGAACAUGCGGUAUUUGGUUUUCUGUUCCUAUGUCAGUUUGCUAAAGACGAUGGCCUCCAGCUCCAUCCAUGUUCCUGCAGAAGAAUGACCUCAUUGCUUGUUAUGGCUGCAUAGUAUCCCAUGGUGUAUAUGUACCACAUUUUUGUUAUCCAAUCUGUCAUUGACGGGCAUUUAAGUUGAUUCCAUGUCUUUGCUACUGAGAACAGUGCUGCAGUGAACAUUCACGUGCAUGUGUCUAUAGAGUAGAAUGAUUAGUUUAAAUGGGCAGGGCUGAGACCUAUGACUGUUUGUCCUUGCUCCAUUCCAGGCAUACGGCUCUCUUCUGGUACCCACAGUCUCCAAGCCUUGGCCAGAGAGGAAUGGCCUGCCUUUCCUUUUUGGAAACGUCUCCAAUCAAUCUCUUGUGUAUCGCAUUAUCUUUCCGGUGUUCUGCCUUUCUCCAAACGCCCCCGUGCGUUUUCAAGGUUUAUAGACGCGUAUCUUGAACUUUAGGUGUUGAGAUUUUUUGGUCCAUCUUUGACAACACAUCUGCAGGAAGAAAGCAUGAGUUGAUCAAAAAGGAAGAAAAAGCUACAAAAUCUAGGGCAUUAUUAUUCAGAGGACAUUUUCUGGUAGAGUUAGGAUAAAUUUUUUCCAAUAAAUUAAUUUUACAGACUUUUAAGACAGAGCUUUUAGAUUAAUGGAAAUAUUACUUAAAUUUAAGUUCAGCCCAUUAAGUCAUCAAUCAUAUUGUUGUUGUAACAUCAUGUAUUUCAUGUUCAUGACACACACAAAUAAAAAAGAAACGACCCAAGAAAGUGAUUUGCUUUACUGCUUGGGGUGACCAGAGCCAAAUGCUUGAAAAGAUUUUUACCGUUAGUGGCUAAAGCUGAGAGCUUUAACCUGGAGCUGCCGCGAGCUGCCAGAGCAGAGGAUGAAGCACGGUCGGAUGAAGAUCUGCAGCCUCAGGAUGAAGAUCUGCAGCCUCAGGAUGAAGAUCUGCAGCCUCAGGCGACGCUCUUCAGUGCGACAAGGAGGAAGCAACUUCCAUAUUCCCCACACGGAAUAGACUCUAUCGAGUCAGGCAUGUUGAGUGAUGCUCACAUUUAGUCUUGACCGCGGUCAGUCCUGCAUGGCAGGCAUCCUCACAAACUCCGUACAGACCAUGACAAUUUUGAGUGGCCAGAUGGGUUCGGGUGACCGCCCGAGAUAUUCACAUUAGAGGAAGAAAGGAAACAGCUUUGCUCUUCAGUAAUUUCAGACUUUUAAAGGACACAGGUUAAUGGCUUUUUAUUAUUGGGUUUUUCUUUGGGGAAAAGUAAUCUUGUAUUUUCUCCAGGUAUGCCGGUGUCUAUACGGCACACGGAAAAGAUGAAAUUUAUCAAAGUAAUUCACUUGGAUGUUUCCACCGAGUAGUCAUCCUCGGCAGCACGCUUUGUAAGAGCUCAUUUUCUAUCAAGGUGACGGUGUUAAGUGUACGGAGCCAAAGCUCCAGAGGCUGCGAUUUGUGUUUUCACGCUUGCCUUCUUCACGGAGAUCUAUUUCAUGCAGCUGAAAUGCAUGGACAGUGUAGCAAGGCUUCCCCUCGUG